UUUCUUUUAGCCUGCCCUCCCUGCCACAAUAGCGUGCUCAAACUCACACUCACACACACACUCACACACACACGCAUCCCUAUUCACACACACUUACACACACCCCUACUCAGACACACUCACACACACCCCUACUCAGAUACACACCCCUACUCACACACACCCCUACUCACACACCACAUUGUCUGCGUUCGGCUCUCCCUUCCCACUCUGCCUCCAUCUCCCUUCCAGGAUGCACAGACGACUGCUCUCUCUCUGGGUGACUGGGGCGCUGCUGCUACCCUUGUGCUGGGCAAACAAAGAGGACUAUGAGGAGGAAUAUGAUGACUAUUCUACACAAACACCAGACUAUGACUACACCGCCACCUUCGAUUACACCUAUUUCAGUAACACCACCGGUCAUGAGGACUAUAGUUUGUAUGUAAUUCUAGGAGAGAAGAAGAAUGUGGAGGAGAAGGAUCUUGAGAAUAAGGCUUUAGCGAUUGGCUCCCCAUGCCCAGUGCUACUCCUCGGAUUGGCUGCUCACCAACUCCAUCGAUUACUGUGAAUGAAACCGAGCACUGCAGAACAUACAGAGAUAUACAGGACCCUGAACUGAGCAGAAAGUUACCCCAUAUUCUGGAAUUGGACUGAGGAGAAAGCUACCCAAUAUUCUGGAAUUUGACCUUUUAAGGAUCAAAUGGACACAGCAUGAGAUUCUCCACCACUGACUUUCUAUACUAUAGUUGGAAAAACCCAUAGUGACUCCUGAAUCCUAACUUAUGAAAGAAGCCCACAACUUGAAUUCAUAAACAUCUCCCAUAAUAAUAUUUGCAUUGUAGGCAGCGUCUCAAAGUUG